CGACCGCUGGCGGCAGGCCUAACACAUGCAAGUCGAACGAACCUUUCGGGGUUAGUGGCGGACGGGUGAGUAACACGUGGGAACGUGCCUUUAGGUUCGGAAUAACUCAGGGAAACUUGUGCUAAUACCGAAUGUGCCCUUCGGGGGAAAGAUUAAUCGCCUUUAGAGCGGCCCGCGUCUGAUUAGCUAGUUGGUUGAGGUAAUGGCUCACCAAGGCGACGAUCAGUAGCUGGUCUGAGAGGAUGAUCAGCCACAUUGGGACUGAGACACGGCCCAAACUCCUACGGGAGGCAGCAGUGGGGAAUCUUGCGCAAUGGGCGAAAGCCUGACGCAGCCAUGCCGCGUGAAUGAUGAAGGUCUUAGGAUUGUAAAAUUCUUUCACCGGGGACGAUAAUGACGGUACCCGGAGAAGAAGCCCCGGCUAACUUCGUG
rnacentral:rRNA from 1 species